GACGAACGCUGGCGGCGUGCUUAUCACAUGCAAGUCGAACGAGAAAGCCCUUCGGGGUGAGUACAGUGGCGAACGGGUGAGUAACACGUGGGCAACCUGCCCCGGAGAGCGGGACAACCCGAGGAAACUCGGGCUAAUACCGCAUGAUGCGUCUCCACUUAAGUGGAGCCGCCAAAUGGUAGCUUCGGCCUCCGCUCUGGGAUGGGCCCGCGCCGGAUUAGCUAGUUGGUUGGGGUAAUGGCCCACCAAGGCGACGAUCCGUAGCUGGUCUGAGAGGACGAUCAGCCACACUGGGACUGAGACACGGCCCAGACUCCUACGGGAGGCAGCAGUGGGGAAUCUUGCGCAAUGGGCGAAAGCCUGACGGAGCAACGCCGCGUGAGUGAUGAAGGCUUUCGGGUCGUAAAACUCUGUUGUUAGGGAAGAACAAGUGCUAGUUGAAUAAGCUGGCACCUUGACGGUACCUAACCAGAAAGCCACGGCUAACUACGUGCCAGCCGCCGCAGUAA
rnacentral:rRNA from 1 species